GAUGAACGCUGGCGGCGUGCCUAAUACAUGCAAGUCGAGCGAACAGACGAGGAGCUUGCUCCUCUGACGUUAGCGGCGGACGGGUGAGUAACACGUGGAUAACCUACCUAUAAGACUGGGAUAACUUCGGGAAACCGGAGCUAAUACCGGAUAAUAUAUUGAACCGCAUGGUUCAAUAGUGAAAGACGGUUUUGCUGUCACUUAUAGAUGGAUCCGCGCCGCAUUAGCUAGUUGGUAAGGUAACGGCUUACCAAGGCAACGAUGCGUAGCCGACCUGAGAGGGUGAUCGGCCACACUGGAACUGAGACACGGUCCAGACUCCUACGGGAGGCAGCAGUAGGGAAUCUUCCGCAAUGGGCGAAAGCCUGACGGAGCAACGCCGCGUGAGUAAUGAAGGUCUUCGGAUCGUAAAACUCUGUUAUUAGGGAAGAACAAAUGUGUAAGUAACUAUGCACGUCUUGACGGUACCUAAUCAGAAAGCCACGGCUAACUACAUG
rnacentral:rRNA from 1 species